UCCCUGGUGGCUCAGAGGGUAAAGCAUCUGCCUGCAAUGCGGGAGACUCUGGGUUCAAUUCCUGGGUUGGGAA
rnacentral:tRNA from 1 species